GUUGAGGUAGAAAUGUACUGAAAUGUGCCGUGAUUGCUACAGUGUGCUGCAUAGCCAGUGAUUUUUACUUUCACACCACAGACCCACUGCAGUUAUCAUUAUUUCUGGUGCGAUUUCCAAAAGAACUGACACCCACCUCCUCCUCCUCGUCGUGGUGCCGCAGCAGCAGCAGUCAACACGAGUCCUUGAUGCUGAAGUGUGGUUACGCUAAGGGGAGCAAUUUCAGUGCAUCGC